AGCGAACGCUGGCGGCAGGCUUAACACAUGCAAGUCGAGCGGGCAUCCUUGUGGUGUCAGCGGCAGACGGGUGAGUAACGCGUGGGAACGUGCCCUUCGGUUCGGAAUAGCUCAGGGAAACUUGAGCUAAUACCGGAUACGUGCGAGAGCAGAAAGGUUUAUCUGCCGAAGGAUCGGCCCGCGUCUGAUUAGCUAGUUGGUGAGGUUAUGGCUCACCAAGGCGACGAUCAGUAGCUGGUCUGAGAGGAUGAUCAGCCACACUGGGACUGAGACACGGCCCAGACUCCUACGGGAGGCAGCAGUGGGGAAUAUUGGACAAUGGGGGCAACCCUGAUCCAGCCAUGCCGCGUGAGUGAUGACGGCCUUAGGGUUGUAAAGCUCUUUUCUCCGGGACGAUAAUGACGGUACCGGAGGAAUAAGCCCCGGCUAACUUCGUG
rnacentral:rRNA from 1 species